UUGCAGAGGAUGCUUUUGGUGCGGUGCCUUCCGAGUUCCUGGAACGGGACGCCUUAGAGGGUGAGAGCCCCGUACGGUUGGCCACCAAGCCUGUGUAAAGCUCCUUCGACGAGUCAGUAGUUUGGGAAUGCUGCUCAAAAUGGGAGGUAUAUUUCUUCUAAAGCUAAAUACUGGCCAGAGACCGAUAGCGCACAAGUAGAGUGAUCGAAAGAUGAAAAGCACUUUGAAAAGAGGGUUAAAUAGCACGUGAAAUUGUUGAAAGGGAAGGAUUUAUGACCAGACUUUUUCUAGGGGGAUCAUCCGGCGUUCUCGCCGGUGCACUUCCCCUAGUUGAGGCCAGCAUCGGUUUCUGCCGGGGGAUAAAGCUUCGGGAAUGUGGCUCCUUCGGGAGUGUUAUAACCCGUGCAUAAUACCCUGGCGGGGACCGAGGUUCGCGCAUCUGCAAGGAUGCUGGCGUAAUGGUUAUUAAUCACCCGUCUUGAAACACGGACCAAGGAGUCGAACAUUUGUGCGAGUGUUUGGGUGUUAAACCCUCACGCGUAAUGAAAGUGAACGAGGUGAGAGCCCUUACGGUGCAUCAUCGACCGAUCCUGAUGUCUUCGGAUGAUUUGAGUAAAGCAUAACUGUUCGGACCCGAAGAUGGUGAACUAUGCUGAUAGGUGAAGCCAGAGAAACUCUGGUGAGCUCGCAGCGUCUGACGUGCAAUCGAUCGUCAAUCUGCGC
rnacentral:rRNA from 2 species